UAAUAGUCAAGCUUGUAGUCAUGUUAGUUAGAUUUUCUAGAUAUAUAGAGAUAUAUUUCAGUUAGAUAGGCAUUCUUCAUAUCUUUCAAAGACUGCAGAACAUGGCAUUUAAAAUAUUUUAAUAACUUAGGACUUUUCAUGACAAGGAGACACGUCUGCUCCUGGCAGCACCAGCUACUUCAAGAGGAAGAUGGGCAUCGAAGAGGAUCCUUAUGGAGUUUGAUAGUCAUUUGGGCAAGAAACUGCUCUUGCCUGGACUGUUGCAUAAACUGGACACAGAGAACCCGCAGAGAGAGGACUGCUGAACUUGCCUAAAGGUGAAAUGACCUUUUGGGGUUCCUGAUUCAUGAAAGAGUCUGCGAGACAUUCUGCAGGACACAGCAGAAAAUGACUGAACUGUCUUUGAAAUUUCCUGCUUCAUGGAAAUGUCUCUGCAUAACAUGGGCCUGUAGGCCGAAGAUGGAUGCCCCAACGGUACAGAGGAACUUUGGAUGACUGUCCAGGCAGCGAGAUGUCUCUGUCAUUUUUAGAGUUUUCUUACUUCUUGUUUGAUAGGUAAUAUUAUAUCCUUCUGGAGUCUUUGAUGGAAUUGAAGAAUGAAUAGUUAUAGUUUUCCUUAAUUAUGAUAAAAGAUAAAAUAGAUAUAAAUAUUAUAACUGUAAUUCUUACUUGAUAACUGUUUUGUUAUAUGUAAUUUUACUAUGCUAAAGUUAAAGCCUUUCUUUUUUGUUUAAACGGAAAAAGGGGAAAUGAUGUGGGAAUGAUUUCUUACUAAUAAAGAAACUGCCUUGGCCCAUUUUAUUGGAUAGAAAAUUAGGUAGGCGGAGUAGACAGAGGAGAAUGCUGGGAAAAAGAAGCU